UGCUUUCCCAAGGAAAACCUGCUGUUUACUGCUGAAUUGGAACAAAUGUCAAUCUGCAAAAAACCAAACAAACACUGAUUUACAUUUGUUCUAAUUCAGCAGUAAACAGCAGGUUUUCCCAGGGAAGCG